rnacentral:rRNA from 1 species
ACGGCUCACCAAGUCAAUGAUAGUUAGGGGGCGUGAGAGCGUGAUCCCCCACACGGGUACUGAGACACGGACCCGACUCCUACGGGAGGCAGCAGUAAGGAAUAUUGGACAAUGGGCGAAAGCCUGAUCCAGCCAUGCCGCGUGAGUGACGACGGCCUUAGGGUUGUAAAGCUCUUUCAGAUGCGAAGAUAAUGACGGUAACAUCAGAAGAAGCUCCGGCUAAAUUCGUGCCAGCAGCCGCGGUAAUACGAAUGGAGCAAGCGUUGUUCGGAAUCACUGGGCGUAAAGCGUACGUAGGCUGAUUUUCAAGUCAGAAGUGAAAGCCCAGGGCUCAACCCUGGAACUGCUUUUGAAACUGGAAGUCUAGAGUCCCGGAGAGGUUAGGGGAAUUCCGAGUGUAGCAGUGAAAUGCGCAGAUAUUCGGAGGAACACCAGUGGCGUAGGCGCCUAACUGGACGGGAACUGACGCUGAGGUACGAAAGCGUGGGGAGCAAACAGGAUUAGAUACCCUGGUAGUCCACGCCGUAAACGAUGUAUGCUAGUUGUUGGUAUCCAUAGGAUAUCAGUGACGAAGUUAACGCGAUAAGCAUACCGCCUGGGGAGUACGGUCGCAAGAUUAAAACUCAAAGGAAUUGACGGGGACCCGCACAAGCGGUGGAGCAUGUUGUUUAAUUCGAAGCAACGCGAAGAACCUUACCUACACUUGACAUACUAGUCGGGGAUUACAGAGAUGUUUUCCUUCGGUUCGGCCGGACUAGAUACAGGUGCUGCAUGGCUGUCGUCAGCUCGUG